rnacentral:rRNA from 1 species
GGGGGUGCAAGCGUUGUUCGGAAUUAUUGGGCGUAAAGAGCGUGUAGGCGGUUUGUUAAGUCUGUUGUGAAAGCCCUGGGCUCAACCCAGGAAGUGCACUGGAUACUGGCAGACUUGAAUACGGGAGAGGGCAGUGGAAUUCCUAGUGUAGGAGUGAAAUCCGUAGAUAUUAGGAGGAACACCGGUGGCGAAGGCGGCUGCCUGGACCGAUAUUGACGCUGAGACGCGAAAGCGUGGGUAGCAAACAGGAUUAGAUACCCUGGUAGUCCACGCCGUAAACGAUGAGUACUAGGUGUUGCGGGUAUUGACCCCUGCAGUGCCGCAGCUAACGCAUUAAGUACUCCGCCUGGGAAGUACGGUCGCAAGACUA